rnacentral:tmRNA from 1 species
GUUAUUGAAUCUCUUGUAAUUCCUUUUAUAUUAAUAAGGUUGGUUUUCCAACUAUGACGAUAAACGAAUUUCGUAAUAACCAUCGCGGACGUGGGGGCAGUACCCACCACC